rnacentral:tRNA from 16 species
GUUGGUCGAGAGGUCAGGACACCUGACUUCUGCAUCGAUGGUUUCGGGUUCGAAUCCCGC